UUGCUCCCUUCAUUAAUCUUUCCAAUCUAUUUUAUUUUGAUUGGGCUGGGUUAAGUCCACUCGAUUUGAGUCCUCUCUUAUGGGCCUUGAACUUUGUUAUUGUUGGGCUCCAUUUCUACAAUAAAAUUGUAAACACCACAAUUAGGAUUGACCUUCAUUCAACUAUAUAAAAAUAUCAUUAUUAAUCCCAAAUAUACUUGUAUAUUAGCAAAUAAUCAUGAGCAAUCAGCAUUAAAAAUGCAAUCUUAUUCACUCUAUCACAC
rnacentral:lncRNA from 1 species